GUGAAGGAACAGAGUCAAGCGGGUAUCCUCCUGGCAGCCUGUUGAGUCGCAUCAAGAUUUCAGGUACCGUGAGGAGGCGCAUAGCUGAAGUUUGGAAACGGCAGC